rnacentral:tRNA from 1 species
GCUCCCAUGGCGUAGUGGUCACUGCGCUCGCCUUGCACGUGGGAGACCCGGGUUCGAUUCCCGGCGGAGUCA